rnacentral:rRNA from 1 species
AGAGUUUGAUCCUGGCUCAGGACGAACGCUGGCGGCACGCUUAACACAUGCAAGUCGAACGAGAGAAGAGGAGCUUGCUUUUCUGAUCUAGUGGCGGACGGGUGAGUAACACGUGAGCAAUCUGCCUUUCAGAGGGGGAUACCGAUUGGAAACGAUCGUUAAUACCGCAUAACAUAAUUGAACCGCAUGAUUUGAUUAUCAAAGAUUUAUCGCUGAAAGAUGAGCUCGCGUCUGAUUAGCUAGUUGGUAAGGUAACGGCUUACCAAGGCGACGAUCAGUAGCCGGACUGAGAGGUUGAUCGGCCACAUUGGGACUGAGACACGGCCCAGACUCCUACGGGAGGCAGCAGUGGGGAAUAUUGCACAAUGGAGGAAACUCUGAUGCAGCGAUGCCGCGUGAGGGAAGAAGGUUUUAGGAUUGUAAACCUCUGUCUUCAGGGACGAAAAAAGACGGUACCUGAGGAGGAAGCUCCGGCUAACUACGUGCCAGCAGCCGCGGUAAUACGUAGGGAGCGAGCGUUGUCCGGAAUUACUGGGUGUAAAGGGAGCGUAGGCGGGAUCGCAAGUCAGAUGUGAAAACUAUGGGCAUAACCCAUAAACUGCAUUUGAAACUGUGGUUCUUGAGUGAAGUAGAGGUAAGCGGAAUUCCUAGUGUAGCGGUGAAAUGCGUAGAUAUUAGGAGGAACAUCAGUGGCGAAGGCGGCUUACUGGGCUUUAACUGACGCUGAGGCUCGAAAGCGUGGGGAGCAAACAGGAUUAGAUACCCUGGUAGUCCACGCCGUAAACGAUGAUUACUAGGUGUGGGGGGACUGACCCCUUCCGUGCCGCAGCAAACGCAAUAAGUAAUCCACCUGGGGAGUACGACCGCAAGGUUGAAACUCAAAGGAAUUGACGGGGGCCCGCACAAGCAGUGGAGUAUGUGGAUUAAGUCGAAGCAACGCGAAGAACCUUACCAGGUCUUGACAUCGUAUGCAUAGCUCAGAGAUGAGUGAAAUCUCUUCGGAGACAUAUAGACAGGUGGUGCAUGGUUGUCGUCAGCUCGUGUCGUGAGAUGUUGGGUUAAGUCCCGCAACGAGCGCAACCCUUACUGUUAGUUGCUACGCAAGAGCACUCUAGCAGGACUGCCGUUGACAAAACGGAGGAAGGUGGGGAUGACGUCAAAUCAUCAUGCCCCUUAUGACCUGGGCCUCACACGUACUACGAUGGCUGUCAACAGAGGGAAGCAAAGCCGCGAGGUGGAGCGAACCCCUAAAAGCAGUCUUAGUUCGGAUUGUAGGCUGCAACCCGCCUACAUGAAGUCGGAAUUGCUAGUAAUCGCAGAUCAGCAUGCUGCGGUGAAUACGUUCCCGGGCCUUGUACACACCGCCCGUCACGCCAUGGGAGUCGGUAACACCCGAAGCCUGUAGUCUAACCGCAAGGAGGACGCAGUCGAAGGUGGGAUUGAUGACUGGGGUGAAGUCGUAACAAGGUA